rnacentral:lncRNA from 1 species
CUCAUUUGUCUCUUGCCUCUGCCAUGUUAGAAGUGCCUUUCGCCUCCCACCAUGACUCUGAGGCCUACACAGCCACGUCGAACUGCAAGUCCACUUAAACCUCUUUUCGUUCCCAGUUUCAGUGUGGUGGAAAAGGAAGAGAGAGCUGAGGCAGACGAUGUAAGAUCUGCUGUUACUUCUUGCUGUGUGACCUUGGGAAAAUCAGGCCAUGUUUGUGUCCACAAACAAGAGUGAAGAUAAUCUCUCCUAUCUGAGAAAUCCAGGAGUGGAGGAAUCCAAUGGGAACUCUGGCCAAGACUCUACUACCCAGACACCAAAAGAAGAAAUGAUUAACCCUGGAGGCUGCCUUGGUCUAGGUGAAAAAAUAUAUGUACGAUGACAGUGCAAUCAUACUAGAACUCAGGAUUAAGAAACUCACUCAAAACUGCUCAACUACAUGGAAACUGAACAACCUGCUCCUGAAUGACUACUGGGUACAUAACGAAAUGAAGGCAGAAGUAAAGAUGUUCUUUGAAACCAACGAGAACAAAGACACAACAUACCAGAAUCUCUGGGACACAUUCAAAGCAGUGUGUAGAGGGAAAUUUAUAGCACUAAAUGCCCACAAGAGAAAGCAGGAAAGAUCUAAAAUUGACACCCUAACAUCACAAUUAAAAGAACUAGAGAAGCAAGAGGAAACACAUUCAAAAGCUAGCAGAAGGCAAGAAAUAACUAAAAUCAGAGCAGAACUGAAGGAAAUAGAGACACACAAGAACCCUUCAAAAAAUCAAUGAAUCCAGGGGCUGGUUUUUUGAAAAGAUCAAUAAAAUUGAUAGACCGCUAGCAAGAUUAAU